GGAGGGCCUUGGAACAAGGAGUGAAUGGAAGAUGAGGGAGUGGAGGGAGGCCAUGUAUGGACUCUUUCUACAGACCAGGCUGUUGAAGGAGAGAGGGCUAACAGGAAAUGUAGUGCAGGGGGAAGUUUUUUGAAGAUGGGAGAAAGAAGACAACUUUUAUAUAUUUCAUUUCAUUUGAUUCCUUAUAAAUUUGUAAGGAAGAUAGAGCUUGUAUUAUGUCAGUGAAGUUGAAAAUAGAGCACAGAAAAAUUAAGAUACAGCACCCCCAAAACUGAGAACUUCUGACAUAAUACACUGUUGGAAAUAUUUAUUUCAGAGUGAAGAAAAUAUUGGAAGUUAGGCUUGUUAAUUGGUCUGCAUGGUUCAUAAUUACUCUUUCUUAUUAACUAUUUAAGGAACAUGAGACCAGGAAGUUAAAUACCCAGGUAUAUGCAGAUGUAUAUCUAGAAUUGGUACCAAAGUAAAUACAGGCAUACCUUGGAGAUACUGUAGGUUCCAUUAUAGACUACCACAAUAAAGUGAAUAUCACCAUAAAGCAAGGCACACAAAUAUUUUGGUUUACCAGUGUAUGUAAAUAUUAUGUUUAUAUUCUACUGCAGUCUAUUAAAUGUUCAAUAGCGUUAUAUUUAAAAAACCAAUGUGCAUACUUUAAUUUAAAAAUACUUUAUUGCUAAAAAAUGCUACUGAUCAUCU
rnacentral:lncRNA from 10 species